rnacentral:sRNA from 4 species
UUGCAUCUGGAGCCAGCGAGGAUGAGAACCUCCGGGGGCGGGAGGUUCGACCCGAGCGAAGCGAGAGAACGUUGCGCGAGCAACGGCCCGCAGGGCAAGCCACGUAGUGGUGAGUCAUCCUCUAUCACCGACCA